rnacentral:rRNA from 1 species
GUGGGGAAUAUUGGGCAAUGGGCGAAAGCCUGACCCAGCAACGCCGCGUGAAGGAAGAAGGUUUUCGGAUCGUAAACUUCUAUCCUUGGUGAAGAUAAUGACGGUAGCCAAGAAGGAAGCCCCGGCUAACUACGUGCCAGCAGCCGCGGUAAUACGUAGGGGGCAAGCGUUGUCCGGAAUGAUUGGGCGUAAAGGGCGCGUAGGUGGCCCGGUAAGUCUGAAGUGAAAGUCCUGCUUUUAAGGUGGGAAUUGCUUUGGAUACUGUCGGGCUUGAGUGCAGGAGAGGUAAGCGGAAUUCCCGGUGUAGCGGUGAAAUGCGUAGAGAUCGGGAGGAACACCAGUGGCGAAGGCGGCUUACUGGACUGUAACUGACGCUGAGGCGCGAAAGUGUGGGGAGCAAACAGGAUUAGAAACCCUUGUAGUCC